rnacentral:rRNA from 1 species
AGAGUUUGAUCCUGGCUCAGAACGAACGCUGGCGGCAGGCUUAACACAUGCAAGUCGAACGCCCGAGCAAUCGGGAGUGGCAGACGGGUGAGUAACACGUGGGAACAUACCCUUCGGUUCGGAACAACGUUUGGAAACGGACGCUAAUACCGGAUACGCCCUGGCCGCGAGGCUUGGGGAAAGGCUUGACCGCCGAAGGAUUGGCCCGCGUUCGAUUAGCUUGAUGGCGGGGUAACGGCCCACCAUGGCGACGAUCGAUAGCUGGUCUGAGAGGAUGGCCAGCCACAUUGGGACUGAGACACGGCCCAAACUCCUACGGGAGGCAACAGUGGGGAAUAUUGGACAAUGGGCGCAAGCCUGAUCCAGCCAUGCCGCGUGAGUGAUGACGGCCUUAGGGUUGUAAAGCUCUUUCGCCCGCGACGAUAAUGACGGUAGCGGGAGAAGAAGCCCCGGCUAACUUCGUG